AACGAACGCUGGCGGCAGGCCUAACACAUGCAAGUCGAGCGAAGCCUUCGGGCUUAGCGGCGGACGGGUGAGUAACGCGUGGGAACGUGCCCUUUGGUACGGAAUAGCCCCGGGAAACUGGGAGUAAUACCGUAUGUGGUCGAGAGACGAAAGAUUUAUCGCCAAAGGAUCGGCCCGCGUUGGAUUAGGUAGUUGGUGGGGUAAUGGCCUACCAAGCCGACGAUCCAUAGCUGGUUUGAGAGGAUGAUCAGCCACACUGGGACUGGGACACGGCCCAGAAUCCUACGGGAGGCAGCAGUGGGGAAUCUUAGACAAUGGGGGAAACCUUGAUCUAGCCAUGCCGCGUGAUCGAUGAAGGCCUUAGGGUUGUAAAGAUCUUUCAGUGGGGAAGAUAAUGACUGUACCCACAGAAGAAGCCCCGGCUAACUCCGUGCCAGCCGCCGCCGUAACAC
rnacentral:rRNA from 1 species